GCUCGGCGGGGACCUCGGGCGUCCCGCUGCAGCUGCAGUAGCCGCGGUUCACCAGCUCCUGGGCCAGCUGGCGCUGCAGAUCGCGGGCCUGGCGCACCACGCCGUCGCGCUCACGGCCCAGCAGCUGCUGUAGCUGCCGCAGCUCGGCCUCCUUCCAGCGCAGCAGCUGCCGGAUCUCGGCCUCGCGCUCCCGCUGCACCUCCGCCUGCAGCUGCCGCAGCUCCCGAAAGCGCUGUGCCUCCCAUUUGGAGUGCAGGUGGUCCGCCAGCUGCUGCCGCUCCCGCUCUGCCGCCUCCCGCACCCGGCGUGCCUCGGCCGUGAAGCGCCGCCGCUCGGCUCGCCCGCGCGCGCGCUCCUCCUCCAGCUCGACCCGAAGCUUCUCCAGCUCUCGCCUCUGCUCCUCCAGGACUGCUGCCGCCUGGCCGGGGCUUCCUAGCCUUUUGGGCCGCAGCUCGCCAACGGCUGCCGCCCCGGCCGAGGCCAACCGCCCCGCGCGCCCCUUCCGGCGCCCCCUGGCUGUCUCCUCGAGCCCCUUCCUCCUCGGGGGCCUUACUAAAUCAUCCAGCCUGGGCUUGAACCUGCCAUCUUCCAGCCUCAGAGUCCCAAAGUGCUGGGAUGACAGGCGGCGAAACGGCGAAACCACUGAGUCAAAUCCCCGGCCCAGUGUCAGGCACUUCGUACCUGCUAUCGGACUGGACGCUCCAGAAAGGCCAGGUCUCUGCCUGUCUGGUUCAUCCAGAUUCACCCACGCCUCCCCAGCA
rnacentral:lncRNA from 1 species